CAGCCGCCGCGGUAAUACCGGCGGCCCGAGUGGCGGCCACUAUUAUUGGGCCUAAAGCGUCCGUAGCCGGGCUGAUAAGUCCUCCGGGAAAUCUGGUCGCUUAACGAUCAGACUUCCGGAGGAUACUGCUGGCCUAGGGAGCGGGAGAGGCCGAGGGUAUUCCCGGAGUAGGGGUGAAAUCCUAUAAUCCCGGGAGGACCACCUGUGGCGAAGGCGCUCGGCUGGAACGCGUCCGACGGUGAGGGACGAAGGCCAGGGGAGCAAACCGGAUUAGAUACCCGGGUAGUCCUGGCUGUAAACGAUGCGGACGUUGUGUCGGACAAGCUAUGAGCUUGUCCGGUGCCGGAGGGAAACCGUUAAGUCCGCCGCCUGGGGAGUACGGCCGCAAGGCUGAAACUUAAAGGAAUUGGCGGG
rnacentral:rRNA from 1 species